rnacentral:tRNA from 3 species
UCGGUGGCGUGCGCGGCCUGGUGGCGCGGGGCGGCGCUGCCCGCGCGGGCCUCGGCCCCGGCGGCGGCGUUCGGGCCGCCGGCCGCCGAG